rnacentral:lncRNA from 1 species
CUUUAAUGGCACAAAAUGUUUAUAAGCUACAACUUAUACAUGUACUGUAAACUGUAUAGAAUGUUACAAAGUGCUAACUAAUUUAUGAAGAAUGCAUAAUCACUUUGGCUCAGUUCACUCCAAUAUUUCAAUACAUGUCAAUUAAAAAUUUUUUGAGUUUAUGAUCUUCAGCUUUCACUUUUUAACACAGUAAGUAAAUAUGUUCUGACUGCAGUUACGUUACCUGCUGCAUUUUCAACGUGCGAGUUUAUGCAAUCUUUGUUGGUCGUAUUUACAAACAUUGUAGGCCAGUUUUCAAUGCAUGUAAGAAAAAUGAAGCCUGCUUUUUUUUUUUUUUCCAAAACUGUAAACAGGUAUAAAGCUUUUUAAACAUCUACCUUAACAAAACUUCAACUAUCAACAGUUGAAACCCCUUUUCAAAUGAUAUAGUCUGUUUCUGUUCCUUGUAAAACUAGAAGUUGUAGACUUUCAUCCCAAGUUUAUCGUAGGGUAUCAAUAAAUACUGCAUUGGAUCAUAGUAAGUGGUACAGUGAUCAUGGAUUCAUCCCUCAGCUGUAAUCUUUACCAUUUUCUAUUUCAUGGCUCCUUCAAAUAUUAUAAACCAUAUGUUGAUACUCCAGCCACAAGCUUGCAGUGUUACUUAUCAGAUAUUCUGAAUAAAUAUCUUUUAAAUUUAGAAAGGGGUAAUUUUAUUUUGUCAAAGGAAAGCAUUCCCUACUUGGUAAAAAUCUAUUUGUUUCCACUAUUCCAAUUUUGAUACAAAACAAGGUGCUAUAAUUAGAAGUGAAAGUGUAUCAGCCUUACCCCAUCCCCUCAGCUUUUCAGGACUACAAAACUCUGCACUUCGUAGCAUCUAAACCACCCUCACCACUUCCUCCUUACCUCCCCCACCCUUGGGUGAAACCCAACAUCCACACUUGAAACAAAGAUGCAGUUAUAGCAACUCAGGUGCCACUAGCAUUCACAGCUACAAGAAAAAGCAGACGUCUUCAACAGAAUAGUUAAGACUGCUCUUUUACCCUGAAGGCAUUCUCUAACAGCAUUCCGAAGUAGAGAAUAAAAAUAAAUACAGGUUAGCAUUGGAUUUAUAUUUAGCUUUUCCAGUUCCUGGGAGCUAACUAAGCUCUCUCAAACCAAACCUCAAUUGGGAUUUAGCUGCUAUGUAAGCUGUUCCAAGCGAUCACUGCUGUAUCAAAUAUUCAACUUCAUAAAAUCUGAUGCAAGCAAACAAUCCAGGUGGCUGUUCUCUCCAAACCAGCUGACUGUAUUUUCUUAACGUUUUUCUACAAGUCAGACUAUUAAAGUUUUUAUUUAAAUGAGAUUUUUGCUAGUCUUAAAAUUAGCAUUGUUCCCUAAAUACUUAGUAUUAAAGUCUAUACCAUAUUUUUUUUAAUAUAUUCAUAUAUAUAUAUAAAAAAGAGUAUUCUAUCCUUCAGAGUCAUGCUACAUGUUCUGAAAUCCAAUAAAAUCUAUUUAGGGACACGGACGUCCCAAUGCUUUGUAACAAUUUGGUACUAAAGCUUCACAUUUUGAAAAGAAGUGUCACUGAAGGAGGACAAGGCUUAAUGUUCCCUAAGAUAAAAGUUCAACAACAUUAGCGAGGAGUCUACCUAACAUGAGACAUCACAAGUGACGUUCAGGUUCCAUGUACCCCCGAAGGAGAUUGUACAGUAAACAAUGAGAAGGAAUAUUGAAAACUCAUUUGCAAAAGACAUUUCAGAGCUUUACAACCUCUGAAUCUUUACACACCUGCAAGAUUGUCCCCCUUAGAGAUUGGUCAAACCACUUCACCUUCUGAAACUGCCCCGUUAUCGUCAUUGUAAAAUAGUUCCACGACAAACAGAAUCAUAUCCUUUUACACAGAGUCUAACUACACCUACAGCUGUUGGGUUUUUCCUUAAUUUAAAACUACAUUUCAUAGGAAGAUUUCACAUUUAAAAUUCUCCCUUAAGAAAACAAGUAAGGAAAAGAAAAAGCUUCUUCACAUGCAAACAAUGCAUUUUUUUCUAAUAACUUCUAGGCAUCAGACAGAUUUCCUACAAGGAAUAAGGAGCUGACUUCAUAGAAAAGACAAAAUUACAACGAUUAUCUAAUAUUAAAAUAUGCUGAUGGAUUUAGGUAUUCUACUUUAAAAUUUAUGCAGUCUUUGCCUCCUGCAAAUCAAAUGGUGUUAGCCAACGUAAGGGGAAGCGUAAUGGAAACUCCCCUGUGAGCUGAUUUAAACCAUGUUUUAUUGCCAGGAAUUUCUUAGUUUAUUUCACAACUGGUUUGUCUUUUUUUUGAAAGCAGAAUUCAAUUUCACUCCAAUCAAUAAUUUUCUUCGGAAGAUACUUAAUUUUAUCACUAUAACACAGUCAACAUUUAUACCAUGCACAACUGCAAUUUAAGUCAGGUUGCACUAAGGAGGCAACAGCAUCACUGAUAAAAUUAAAACUUGCUGGUGGCAUUUUGCAUCGAGAGAAGCCCUUGCAACAUAUAGACAGUUGUAAACUCUGUUCAGCAACUCUGACGUGUCUUGCAGGCCAAGAGGCAAGGGAAUGGGAGGAGAGAGGAAAAGAAUGUGGAUAGCGAAACACCUCAACAGAGUUCCAACACAAUACUGAAUUCCAGAAUUAGCAAAAACCUGGAUAUGUAAAGAAAGGGUGAAGUCAGGGUCAUGCUUAAAACGGUCUCAAGUCAAAUGUACUAAACGAGACAGAAACACCUUCACAGGUCACGUGGGUUUCCAGGUUUUGCACUCCAUCUUUCAGUAAGUGCUGGCUGAAGGUGUGGUCAGUCGUUUUCCGAUGUAGAUGCCUAGUCCCAAAGCCAAAACAUGAGAUAUGAACAGAGAUGGAAUGAAAACCUUAAGAAAUUCUGCAGAGAAAAUGCCACCUUUCUUCAUUGCUCCACUUUUCCUCAUACUUAAAGACACUGAACGUUUAGGAUGUCUGAAAUGAAAUUCCUUGGGAGGAAUGUUUUCGGGCCUACUCGACCAGUCUGACACCCAGUCAGCACUUUUCUUCAACACUUCCAACUCUUUCUCUCCUUCUACUGCUUCUUCUUCAGACUGAGAACUACUGUCUUUACUUGUGUGCAUUUCCACAUCAAAUGUUAUCUGUCCAUCUUCUUGAGGUGAAGGGCUGUCACAGUGGGAACUACCUCUUGAACUGCUCUGUCCUGAUUCAUGUUGGGCAUCCAGAAGAAUUUUCUCCAUGUCUCCAUUAUGAAUGGAGGAUGAUGAUGGGACAUGCUCCAGCCCUCCGUUUUUCCCAUUGCCAUUAUCAUUGCUAUUGCCAUUGCCGUUCAUCUGCAACUCCACCCAGGAACUGUUGAGGCCCGGUUCGGUUUGCGUCCCCUCAGCCGGCGGGUUGUUGUUGUUGUUGUGCUGCGGCGGCUCCUGAGGGCUGGACAUGGCGGCGCAGGAGCGGCGGCUGAGGAGACGGAGAGCCGCUGGGGCUGGGGACAACAACAACAAACCUGGACUCCGCUCCGGGCCCCGCCGCCCCGCCUCCUCGCUCUGCGCAUGCGCGAGCUGCGCUGUUCCCACCCUCCGCCGCUGCGCACGCGCCGCCCGCCCCGGGGCGCGUGCCGCGCAGCAUGGCGCCCUC